AAUGGUGUUGCUAUAAGGUUUGACCCUUUGAUAACUCUUGGUGGAUUAAGUGUCCCUAAUCAAGACAUCCAUUUUAGAUUACAUUCAAAGGAUCUUGUUUGUGUAUUAUUUUGAAUACUGUGAGACCUGGCUAUUCCCGGACAGUGGCUGAAAUGGCUUUCCAAGUAUGGGGCCUUCAGACUGCACCCUAGAUCUAAGACCUAGGAGCCUGCCUCAGUCUGAGAAGUUUCUCAAAAAAAAAAAAAGGAGGGGGCAUUACUUCCCAAUUAACUCAAUUAACUUCUUCUGGUGUUUAAGAAGCUACCAGGAAAUUAACCAAAUAAGGUCUCCUGCCUACUGUCUAUGUCUGAGGAACUCCGGGCCCUGGAAGUGAUUUCUUAAAGAAUGUACUAACCAACCUCAGGACUGCAAUUAGGUUCUACCAAGGAGAGGAAUGACAUCAGAGAAGGAGCCAUCUGUUUCCUGCUGAGCCCCCAACAGAGACACUUUCCAAUCAAGAAUGUACUGCAGCGAAUUCAAGAAGUACCAGUGUGGAACAUUAUAAGUGCCUCUGGGAGCAUCAACAGAAUAUUGGUCUCUCACUGAACCCAGGACAAGGCAGCCAUCUUCCAUCGAUGGGAUGGAGUUAACAAGCAGGUGUGUGUGUGACCACACCGGGUUUUCCCACGGGUGCUGAUGACUUGAACUCAGGGCCUUCAACUUGUCUAAAAGUAUCCUCCCACUUCUCGUGAUCUGUGGGAAAGAAUACAAAGUGUGAACAGAUAAGGAAAAUACACAAAGAAAUACAAAGUAGCAAGCCCAGCUCAGAAAAGUCCCAUGCUGCCAAAUGGUCAGGAAGGUUUAAUUUUGUCCAAAAAAAAAAAAAGUCUGAAAAGCUGUAACAAAGCCCAAAAGCCAAGGUGCCACAUGUAGGCUGCAGAUGUGAACAGCGGCAGAAACCGUCCUUUCUCUGGGUUGAUGUAAAAAGACAACCCAAGAGUCUCACCGAGGCACACGCAAAACCAGCCAGGAAUGACGCUUUGAAGCCAUCCUUUAAAUGAACUGUCUCGGUGUCCUACAGUUCAUCAAAGGUUUCCUGUCUCUGAAAGGUCAGCCUCAUAUCCCUUACCCUUUCUGAAUCUCAGUCUCCUUUCAGCUCUUCACUGACAAACGGCGAGCAGGGGCCUCUUCGUCCUAACAAUCUCGAUUGCACAGUUCACAGAUUCUUAAGAUAAAUCACUACGCGAAUAUCAUAUACAGUCUUUGGUCUGUCUCACGGGUCUAUGUUAAAAAAUAAAAAUAAAAACCAAUACUUUUGUAAUAGCGAGGGGGUGUUGAAACCCUGAUUAAAUAAAGUGAGGUUAAAAACUCGGGAAGACA
rnacentral:sRNA from 1 species